GGCCGGCUAGCUCAGUUGGUUAGAGUGUGGUGCUAAUAUUACGUCAUGUGACAUGUUAUGCCGAGGUCGUCGGUUCGAUCCCGGCGCUGGCCA